CGGUAGCUAAUACCGCAUAACGUCGCAAGACCAAAGAGGGGGACCUUCGGGCCUCUUGCCAUCGGAUGUGCCCAGAUGGGAUUAGCUAGUAGGUGGGGUAACGGCUCACCUAGGCGACGAUCCCUAGCUGGUCUGAGAGGAUGACCAGCCACACUGGAACUGAGACACGGUCCAGACUCCUACGGGAGGCAGCAGUGGGGAAUAUUGCACAAUGGGCGCAAGCCUGAUGCAGCCAUGCCGCGUGUAUGAAGAAGGCCUUCGGGUUGUAAAGUACUUUCAGCGGGGAGGAAGGGAGUAAAGUUAAUACCUUUGCUCAUUGACGUUACCCGCAGAAGAAGCACCGGCUAACUCCGUGCCAGCAGCCGCGGUAAUACGGAGGGUGCAAGCGUUAAUCGGAGUUACUGGGCGUAAAGCGCACGCAGGCGGUUUGUUAAGUCAGAUGUGAAAUCCCCGGGCUCAACCUGGGAACUGCAUCUGAUACUGGCAAGCUUGAGUCUCGUAGAGGGGGGUAGAAUUCCAGGUGUAGCGGUGAAAUGCGUAGAGAUCUGGAGGAAUACCGGUGGCGAAGGCGGCCCCCUGGACGAAGACUGACGCUCAGGUGCGAAAGCGUGGGGAGCAAACAGGAUUAGAUACCCUGGUAGUCCACGCCGUAAACGAUGUCGACUUGGAGGUUGUGCCCUUGAGGCGUGGCUUCCGGAGCUAACGCGUUAAGUCGACCGCCUGGGGAGUACGGCCGCAAGGUUAAAACUCAAAUGAAUUGACGGGGGCCCGCACAAGCGGUGGAGCAUGUGGUUUAAUUCGAUGCAAUGCGAAGAACCUUACCUGGUCUUGACAUCCACGGAAGUUUUCAGAGAUGAGAAUGUGCCUUCGGGAACCGUGAGACAGGUGCUGCAUGGCUGUCGUCAGCUCGUGUUGUGAAAUGUUGGGUUAAGUCCCGCAACGAGCGCAACCCUUAUCCUUUGUUGCCAGCGGUCCGGCCGGGAACUCAAAGGAGACUGCCAGUGAUAAACUGGAGGAAGGUGGGGAUGACGUCAAGUCAUCAUGCCCCUUACGACCAGGGCUACACACGUGCUACAAUGGCGCAUACAAAGAGAAGCGACCUCGCGAGAGCAAGCGGACCUCAUAAAGUGCGUCGUAGUCCGGAUUGGAGUCUGCAACUCGACUCCAUGAAGUCGGAAUCGCUAGUAAUCGUGGAUCAGAAUGCCACGGUGAAUACGUUCCCGGGCCUUGUACACACCGCCCGUCACACCAUGGGAGUGGGUUGCAAAAGAAGUAGGUAGCUUAACCUUCGGGAGGGCGCUUACCACUUUGUGAUUCAUGACUGGGGUGAAGUCGAAACAAGGUA
rnacentral:rRNA from 1 species